UGGCGAUGAUGAAAUUAGAGUUGACCGUGAAGACUUGGGUCUCUCACAACCGUCUGAUCUUCGGACGACAUAUUCAACCCACGGAGCCU